rnacentral:rRNA from 1 species
UACGAAGGGAGCGAGCGUUGUUCGGAAUCACUGGGCUUAAAGCGUGCGUAGGCGGCCAUCCAAGUCAGGAGUGAAAUCCCGGGGCUUAACCCCGGAACUGCUUUUGAAACUGGACGGCUGGAAUCCUGGAGAGGUUAGGAGAAUUCCGAGUGUAGAGGUGAAAUUCGCAGAUAUUCGGAGGAAUACCAGUGGCGUAGGCGCCUAACUGGACAGGUAUUGACGCUGAGGCACGAAAGCGUGGGGAGCAAACAGG